GCGAACGACGUGCGGGUGGCGGCGGGAUGAAGUCGUGGGCAAGCGUUGUCCCGAAUGAGUGGGCCGAAAGCGGGCGCAGGCGUGCCUUUAAGGGGGAGGUGAAAGCCCACGGCGCAACCGUGGAGGGGCAUUGGAAGCUAGGGGACUUGAGUGCAGAAGAGGAAAGCGGAAUUCCACGUGUAGCGGUGAAAUGCGUAGAUAUGUUGAGGAACACCAGUGGCGAAGGCGGCUUUCUGGUCUGUAACUGACGCUGAGGCGCGAAAGCGUGGGGAGCAAACAGGAUUAGAUACCCUAGUAGUC
rnacentral:rRNA from 1 species